UACGUAGGUCCCGAGCGUUGUCCGGAUUUAUUGGGCGUAAAGCGAGCGCAGGUGGUUUAUUAAGUCUGGUGUAAAAGGCAGUGGCUCAACCAUUGUAUGCAUUGGAAACUGGUAGACUUGAGUGCAGGAGAGGAGAGUGGAAUUCCAUGUGUAGCGGUGAAAUGCGUAGAUAUAUGGAGGAACACCAGUAGCGAAGGCGGCCAUCUGGCUGGUAACUGACGCUGAGGUGCGAGAGCGUGGGGAGCAAACAGG
rnacentral:rRNA from 1 species